GGACUUCCGGAUCCCUGGAGGCAAGGAAGAGACACAGGGAGAGGAGUGACAGAGUUGGCCUUGCUUCUGAUGGAGAAAAGUUGACCAGAUGUGACCGUACAGGCCGCUCGCAUGGGCCGCUCAUACAGAUAAGAAAGAGCAAAGGCCAACACUGUCACUGCUUCUCACUAAAGCACAUCAAGCUACCUAUAUGUUACUCAAGGGGAAUGAUCUAAAUUUUCAGAAUCCAUCAUGCCCCCCUAAAGAAGGUGUGUGAAGGACAUCACGAAACACCUCAAGAAGUCUCAGAGAGUGCAAUCCUGCCUGCUUUUUCUCGUAAGACGCAAUGGAUGCAUUCAGAUGACAUACUUUCUCCAUGAACAGUAAAACUUCUUGUGUGAAGAAUGUUCGUGGAGUUUAAAAAACAAAAUCUCAAGUAUCAUCAGAGUCACUGGACUGCUGAACAGUUGAAAACGGAGCAGUAAUCUUUGAAACCGGUAACUCCAGUUCCAGUGGUAAGCACCUACCAUGCACAUACGUGUCUUGAUACUUUUGAGAGUACAAAGUAAAUGAAAAGUAAGAACUGAGCAUGGUCGUGUAUACCUCUGACUCCAGCUUUGGCACACCAAGGCGGGAGGAUUCCAAGCUGAAGGCCAGAACAGGAUACACAGCAAGGUGUAAGAGAAUUCAGGCUCUGAAACCACAGUGAUAUGAUUUCAUCGAUGUAAUGUUAAACUCUGAGCCAUCCGUGCGAUUCAGACUCACAGCCUUCAAACCUACCUAGCCACUGCUGCUGAGACACUUCACACCAGUAUUUCCUCACAGACAGGAUGUCUUUGAGAAGAAUGUUGCUGCAGUCAGCUCCGUAAGUUGCGCCAUUAGAUGAGUCUUUCACUGUAUCCAUGACGUAAUUCAAGAGGUCCUGACAUUUUAGCCUGGGUGCUCCUAUUUAAAAAUCAAACAAAA